rnacentral:rRNA from 1 species
AUGGCCACCUUACUGUCCACGGUGCGGGAGAUCCGUCGUUCGCAGCGUGCGGAGGGGGCGGCGGCCGUCCUCGCCAUCGGCACAGCUAACCCGGCCAACUGCGUGUCCCAGGAGGAGUAACCGGAUUACUAUUUCCGGGUCACCAAGAGCCAGCACCUCACCGACCUCAAGCAAAAAUUCAAGGCCAUGUGCCAGAUGACACCAACGGACAAGCGUUACUUCCACCACACGGAGGAGCUCCUGGACGCCCACCCCGACUUCCUCUGCCGUGGAAAGCCGUCCCUGGACGCCCGCCUAGCCAUCGCGGCUGUCGCUGCGCCAGAGCUUGCGGCGUCAGCUGCAGCCAAAGCCAUAGCCGAGUGGGGUCGUCCGGCCACCGACAUCACCCACCUCGUCGUCAGCACCAACUCAGGCGUGCACUCCCCUGGCGUCGACCUCCGCCUGGCCUGUCUGCUCGGCAUCCGCGCCUCCGUACGACGGACCAUGCUCUACCUCAACGGCUGCUCCGCAGGUGCCGCCUCGCUGCGCCUUGCCAAGGACCUGGCAGAGAACAACUGUGGUGCGCGUGUGCUGGUGGUCUGCGUCGAGCUCACCAUCGUCUCCUUCCGUGGCCCAGAGGAGGCAGAUGCCCACCCACACACUCUCAUCAGCCAGGCGUUCUUCGGAGACGGUGCUGGCGCGGUCAUCAUCGGCGCCGACGCCAUGCACCCCGUCGAGCGCCCAAUCUUCAAGAUGGUGUCCGCCUCGCAGACCAUGAUAGCGGGGACCGACCGUGUGCUCACCAUGCAGCUGACAGAGGCCGGCCUCGAUGGCCACAUCUUCACGAAGGAGCUGGUUCCUAUAGCGGCGAAACACAUCGACCAGUGUCUCACAGAUGCGUUCCAACCGCUUGGAGUA